CAACAGUACUCUUGAACAAGUCCAGUCAUGUCAAUAUUCACUAUAUUUGCUCACUUACACAGCCUAUGGCUCCAUUUGUCCCAUAUUCCCUCAAAUGUACCCUUGACCUGCGCUGUAGAACAAGUCUGUGCAUUUUGGACCUUUUAAAGCAAGCAAAUGAAUAUCCAUAAGUCUAAUAAACACUAUACAUGCGUAUGGACUGGACUAGAAACGGACUUUUUUGUGAAUGUGAAUAAGCCGAACCAGUAUUUGCGCACACACGCUGUAUCUUUGUUCCGGACGUGACAACAUGACAAGUCUCCUACCUUUACCGGUGUUCUGCAACAUUCGCACACGGCUGCCUCAUCUUUCAACAGCAUGCCAGCAAAUGCGCAUCAAUGAAGCCAGCAUCCAAAAAAACAAACAAAACCCUCCGUGGCACACUCGACCUGCGUGGAAGUCAGUCUGUGUGGAAUCACGGAGAGAAAGAGACCCCCCUCCCUCCUCCGGCAGGCUGCAUGUGCAUCACUGCAGGGCUUCGGCCAAAGCGUUUUAUUUGCCUCCCCCCGCCAACUCCAAGGCGCGGUCUGGCCUGGUUUGGGCGAGGACGCGCACGUCUUUUUACGCACUCAAUGUGGAGCAUGCAUCCCUCCAGCCAUGUGCGUAAAGCGUUUAAAUCCACUAACUAGCGUGCGAAAGGGUGGUGGGGACGGGGGAGGCUAACUCACCGGGAAAGUCCAUGGCGGUGUCCGCAUUGCUCACAGCAUCUGUGCGCCUCCGUCCGUUAAUUGGAAACGAGGCUCUUUUUGAGGAUCCACGCCACUUAUCCGGUCCACGUCACGGGGGCAGCAGUCUCAUUAGGGAAGUCCAGACUUCCUGGUCUGCGGCCACCUCUUCCAGUUCCACUGGGGGGACACCAAGGCCUGCCCAUGGCAGCUCCUUUCAUCCACACGGAAACGGCGUUCUGGGUUCCCUGAAACGCUGUAUUUUGGAAACGCCUUCCAGAGUGGGGAAAGUCUGAUAACGUCGGGUUGUUGUGACCAGGAGAACAAGAAGGAGCCCCCACCAAACCCACCAAAAAAACCCAGGCACCCCUGACCUGAGGAGAAUUCCUUCCGAGAGUAGCAAGGCUAACAGUUUAUGAAGAGGCUUUCCAAGUGGAGCUGCAUGUCCUCUUCAAGACUGUAUAGUCCUGUAAUGCACAUUGUGAAAUGCAUAAAAUGGUGUCAUGGUUGUAUCCAAUCAUGGCACCUCUUGUUCUGACACUCCCCUACUAUUGCAGAAGCUUCUCCUUUCACCACUGCCACUUGAGUUGGGAUGCACAGCAGUAUUCCAAUAUGAUGAGGACCCCAAACACACCUCCAAGAUGACCACUGCCUUGCUAGAGAAGGUGAGGGUAACGUUGAUGGACCUGAACCAUAUUGAGCAUCUGUGAGCCGUCCUGAAAUAGACGUUGGAGGAGUGCAAGGUGUCUUGCAUCCACCAGCUCUAUGACAUCAUCACGGGGGCCUGAAAGACGAUUCCAGAGGCAACCUAUGAAGCAACCUAUGAAGCUCUAGUACACCUCAUGUCCAAUGAUUAAGACAGUGUUGGGAUAUAAUGGUAUCUACACUAAAUAUUCACACUUUUGGCACAAGUUGGAUGUUUUAUGAGGGAUGUACUUACUUUUGUUGCCAUUGGUUUCAACAUUAAUGGGUUUGAGUUGAGUUAUUUUGAGGGGACAGUAAAUUUUACACUGUUAUCCAAGCUGUACUCUAACUACUUUACAAUUAAAGUGUUGUUUCUUCA